rnacentral:rRNA from 1 species
UACGGAGGGUGCGAGCGUUGUCCGGAAUCACUGGGCGUAAAGGGCGCGUAGGCGGCGCGGGCAGUCAACGGUGAAAGCUUGGGGCUCAACCCCGAGUCGGCCGUCGAUACUCCCGUGCUUGAGCACUGUAGAGGCAGGUGGAAUUCCGGGUGUAGCGGUGGAAUGCGUAGAUAUCAAGUGGAACACCAGUGGCGAAGGCGAAUCCCUGGAAAAUACCUGACACUGAGGCACGAAAGCUAGGGGAGCAAACAGG